rnacentral:misc_RNA from 1 species
GGUCUGACCAAUAAUCCCCAAAGGAAAAGUUUGGCUGUAACUCUGGCAUGUUGCCAUUCUUCUCAAUUUCCAACUUCUGUGAAUGCUCUUCAGUUGCAGUGCAGUCAUCAAGGUGCUUUAUCCUCUUAUUUGAUGGCUCAAUUUGAGGUGUAGUUGUUACGUUUGGGGAACAAUAAUGUGCGUGUGCCACUUCUGGCGCAGCCUUGAGCUGCUGAGAAGCUCCCACUGCAAACUUGUCCAGAGAAACCACAUCCAGAACAGCUUCAUCUUUACUAGAUUUUUUAGCUGUUCUACCUGUCAUUUUAAAAGCACGCACAUUGGAGAUUGAGCUGCCCAUUGGUUCACUUUCAAGCUCUGAAAAUUGUUCUGGAGAUUGACGAGGCAAAUGAAGCUUUGUACUAUUUUUGCAUUUGCCUGAGUUGAUCAGCGUUUUUCCAUUGCUACUUCUAUCAAUUGUUUUCAUGAGCGAGUUCCUCUCAUGUAUGAUAUCAGAAGCAGGAGUUGAAAGCAGCUCAUUUUCAGCAGUAAUCUCAACAGGUAUUUCACCUGUAAGAGUCUUG